ACACUCUUUUGUUGCUGCGUAAUUCAGAAAUGGUAAAUCAUCUUUGUAAUGGUUGGUGGAUUUACUUUUAUUAAAUGGUGUCAAUAUUUUAAUAACUAUUAGGAUUAGCCAUUGUAUUAUAAUGUUAAGUUGAAUUAUAAAAGUGUUUGUAAAAAUGUGAUACAAUAUAAGAACUAAAUAAUAACAUGGAGAUCAAUUUAAUCCAAGUAGGUUCACAACUUUGUCUGUAAUUAUCUACAUAUCAAGAAUCAAGACUUUGCAUGGUUAUUUGAAUACACACUUUGAAUUAGUGACUGGGAAGACAAAGCUAUGAAAGGCAAUCGGAUUAAAGACUAAGACUCAUUGAUUGUUAUCUAAAAUGAGUUACUAAAGAUGAUUUAAAGAUCCACAUUUUGCAAAUAUCAAGACUCGCUCGAUGAUUUCAACCAGGAACACAAAAACUUGAAUGGCAUCAGAGGUGUCAAAAAGUUCUGUCGUUUUUCACCAGUGACUUUUGCUUCAAUUUUGAAUAAGUUCUAAUUAUUCAAUGACCUCAAUGAUUUUAGUAAUACAAGAUCAUUAGCAUAAGUGUAUGUAGACCAAGUGCAGAUAAUCCCUGAGCAUAAUUUGAUACUUCUAACCAUAAAUUACAUUAUUAUGAGUAAAAAUUGUUUAACACUAAAUUUUCAUUUAAAGGUUUUUUGCAAUUUAAAUGAAAGCUAAAUCAUCAGAGAAAAAAUAACAGAACUUUUUGAUAACCCUAAUUGGACAGAGCCAAUGAUCACUGAUGGCUUCAAAUCUCGCCUACUCGAUAUUCCUACAUCAAUUGACCAAUGCUGAUUCUAUAUUGAAAUUGAAUGAAUAACCAGAUGGUCAUCUAAAAAUGCUUCAAUCUCGAUACUGAUGUUGUCAUUGAAUCCUAAAGAUUGAAAUUGGGUCGAUUAGAUUGUCAACAUUUAGUGUUGAUUGAAAGGCUUUUGCUUACGAAAAGGAUUGAUAUUAGAUUAAAAAGGACGGAUUAGCGAGUAUAUAUAUAUACAGUUUAUAAAUAAUGAAAGAGAGAGGUUUCUUUUUUAACAAUAACAAGUAAACAAUUGAAAGUAUAUGUACACUUUAUGUUGAUAAUAAUGAUGAUGAUGAUUAUUAUAUUGAUGCUAGUGAUGGUGAUGAAGAUGCUAGAGUAAAGUGUUUUUGUGGGUGGCCUUUAAACGGAAUCAAAAGAUGAGGAUUAACCUUGUGCAAAGGAGGAAAGUGGCAAGACCAGGAAUUGAAUGGAAAAAAGAUGAAAACAAGUAGAAGAGGAAAAAAUGAUGGAGAUGAUGAGGAGGAGGAGAAGGAGGAAGACUAAAGGAUAACUAUUUGGGCAGGUCUUUUGUGGUCCUUUUUUGUUGUUACUUGUUAUAUUACUAUUGACAUGAAAGCAAGGAGCCAAAAAAAAGUGAACAUUGUUUAAGCUUUUUCCAUCUCUUUUACUGUUGUUGAUCAUGUCGAUGUUACCAUUUAUUGACAUCUCAUCUCUUUUUGAUCCCUCUUCCUCUUCCUCAUCCUCUCAUCAUCAUCUUCCUUUUAUACCCUUAAAAUGAUAAAUUGAGCAUAUGUCAGUUUGGUUAGCAAUUUGAUGUCUCAAUCAAGACUUAAACUUAAAUUGAUUAAGACCAAGCAUAAAAAUGUCUUUAUUUACAUUAUUUUAAUACAUUUUAAUAACCAUUUAAUAACAGAUGGAUUGAUUGCUUGUUUUGUUUGAUUCACAUGUUAAUCAUUACUUUAAUUAUUUUUACAUCAAUGGUACAUUUUGUUUAAUUAAUACCUUUUCACUUGACGAGCUUUUUUUAUACAUUUCAUUUCAGGGAAAAGGUAAGCAAGGUUUUUGUAUUUUUGAUCCUUUUUUCUGGUUCCACUUCCAACUUCACUUGAUCAAUACUAAUUCAAUUAAGAUGAAGAUUCAUGGUGUAUGUGUGUGUGUGUUAAUGAUGAGAAGUAGGAUGAAAGAUGAUAAGGAUGACGAAGAUGAAUAUAACCAGUAACAAGGUUCAACAAAAGAUAAAAUAUGAAUGAAGGUUCGUUGUUUUUUUUCUGGUUCACUUUUUUGUUGCUCUCGUAUAUUAAUUAAUUUGUUACUGACUAAAUUGUUAUCAUAUUAGGAUUACUCAAAACUGAUUAAAUCAUUUGCCCAUUACAAUGAUUACAAUUAUAUAUUUUAAGUAAUUAAUUUAACAAGAUGAAGCUGCAAAAAAGUAAGUUUAAAGACUAAAAAUGUCUUUUGCUGUAAGAUUAAUGCUUGUAGGUUGUCGAGUUGUAAUAUCUUACAAAGGGUGGACAGUUAAAGGUUAAGUUAUCAUUUGAAUGGCCACAUAUGGCUAUUAUUCAGUGUAUAUGGAUAUAGAGCAAUGGUCAUUCAGAUGAUUGGAAGUAACAUCAACAUGAACCAAGAAUGAAGGAAAAGGGUGAAAUAAAAAUAUCACAAAACCUUUCUUAUUUAUGAGGCUAUCAAGCCUUUCCAAAACUUCAAGUCUCAUUGCUAUUUACGCCUAUUCAAUAGGCCUUCAUGAAAAGUGAAACCAUUCUUGCUCAUAACCCUGCUCUUGUCCAACUAUUCUGUCUUCCAUCUUCUCAACUCUUAUAGGAUUGGAAGAUUGAAGGAUGAAAACAUGAGAUGAGAUAAUUUCAUGUAAAAUGCAAAGUUUCAAGAUGCAUUUACAAUCUUCAUUUAUUUUUACCUAACCAUUAAUUAACACCCAUAAAAUGAUUUUCUUAUUAACAGAA